GACUGUGAGGGCAACCUGGCUGUGACAUCUGUCACUCCAUUAAUCUCCAGGGUUAAUUCAGCUGGCUAAUUUAGCCAAGUCAACUGGUUGGCUAGGCAGUUGUUCCCUUCUUCCCUCACUGCCCCAUGUGUGUCCCUCCCAAAGCUACAUGCUUGGUGGAAGAGAACAACAUUCCCUGAUAGAGUAGAACUUUUUUGGUCAAGAGUAUAUUUGUAGCUGUAGUCCCCAGCUACAACAUCCUCUAAGCAAGCUCUUAAGGUCCAUUUGUAGGAGAACAUAGGGUACUCAAACCCAUGACUCCAGAGACAUCCAAGCGAAGUGGAUGUGGACAGUCUGCACUA
rnacentral:snRNA from 1 species